CUGCCUUGGCUUUCUACAUGUUGUUUUAACUUUCACUUUAGGGAGGACAUGGAAUCUACUCACAAAGUAGGAGACCCUCCCUAAGUGCCAAGGUGAGGAAAAGAUGACAAUGGAUCCCCUGGUGGCAAGUAUGAUAAGGAACUUCACCAGCCUAUGGAUAAUGUCAUAUUUGUUUUCUACAUAUUUCUUCUUUUUCUACAAAGAACGUUUUCAACAAUGGCCCUUUCUCUGGCAGCUUAAUGGGACCCUGGCUGUAACUUUUUCAGUGGAAGUUGGUGUUUUUAUUUGUUAUUUGUGGACACAUCACAGUUGCCAAGGGUUUAUUUUCAAGGAAGAUUGGAUGAACUGGAUUAUUUGGAGCCUCAUUUUCGUCUUCAUCUCAAUCUUUGGAAUACUAAUGUUCUACAGUGGAUAUCGAUUUUUGUUUCCCCUUCUUAUGCUACUGGUACUUUCAAUGAAUUACAACAAUAUUGAGAACAUGAUCUUUCUGAUGCCUGUACUAAGGUUAAUUUUAUCCCGGAUUCUGAGUCUGCUCGUAAAACAGUGAUUCAGGUGACUGGGCCCUGUCUGGUAGACUGACUGGCAUACAGCAAAUGGCCAGACUGCCCUGGGAAAGGAGUUAAUGAUGAUCCAGGGCUUAACCCUGAGGGACACUAAUGCUCAACUUGGGAGGGAGUGGGGGAAUGGUAACAAGGAGGAGGCUAACAAAGAUAAAGCCAGAGGAAAGGGAUGGCCAAAGGAAGAAGGUCGGCCAGGAGUCUUAGGACUUGACCUGGAGUCACCUAAGGAAGCAGGUGUGGGCUAUGACAAAAAGCAAAAUCACUAUCACUUUUUUCCUCCCUCCCUUCAUUUUUUUUCUUUCUCUCCCUCUGCUCUCUCUUUUUCUUUCUCCUCAUUCUCUCCUUCCUUCUUUCUUGCUAGAGCCCAUAUGUACCAGGACAGUGCUCCUAUUUCUAUAUCCUCCUCUGAAGAGCAGGGGUGUUACUUCCCACCUCCUGUCAUCUUUCCCUUCUAGUGCCAGCUGGUCCACAAAUUCACCACCCCUCAAAACCCCAAAGCUUGAUGAUAGUCAUGCUCCUCCCCUGGAAAGUUUCCCUAAAGGGAAUAGAGGACUAAGUCAAGGAAACUGCUGGCCUCAGGAUUCAUGCUUCUGUCUCCAAACUACAUUAACAAUACAUAGGAGUGGUCAUACCCUAAACUUGUCCUUCAAGCAACAUAUACUUCAUAUCCCCACUCCUCCCACUAGUGAAUUCGCCUCAGUGUCUAGAAUUCCUUGUUAGGGCUCUGUUUUCUUUGAUCACUCUUUUUUGCCUUCAUCAUUCCCAGGAAAUAUUCCCCCAGUGUCCUUUUUAGAGGCAGAGGCCCUGGACAGAUCUUGGGAUAUAUCCUGAAGAAUCUUAGGUCUCAUGGUUGUUUUUUUUUUUCCACAGGACAGGUAUGGUUUUCCCAUAAUCAUGGUACGUACACCAAGGCAAUCAUUGACAUGAGGCACCAAAUGGCCCCUCAAUUCUGUCCUGACUGAUCCCUUUUAGUUGUGUUCUAUGAGGAUCUUCUGAGUCACAGAUUUUUUAUCAUCUUACUCAUUACUCUCAGGGGUGAGAGGUAGUGAUUCUUAGGUAUUUCUCAAUAAAGAAUUAUACUCUUGGGGGCAGCUAGGUGGCACAGUGGGCAAAGUACUGGUCCUGGAUUCAGGAGUUCAAAUCUGGCAUCAGACACUCGACACUAGCUGUGUG